UCUAUUUUUUAUUUUAUAUACUUACCUUCAUUGACCACUCACUACUAGUAAAGAGGAGAAUUGUCUGCUGUGUUGUUGUGAUAGCCGGUUCUCGCCACAGGAGGGCACUGCAGGUUAAUUGCUUCUAGCCUGUGUGACGUAGUGCUGGCUCCCGCGGUGCACUCUGGGGCAUUCGGGUAGAGUCGUCAGAUGAGUGUUGCCGUUCGUAUAGUGAGCCGUGCUCUGAAAACGUGUCCUCUGUAAUGUCUAUUUGACAGAUGGAGUAAAACAACAAAAACACCAGCCCUUAUGUAGUCAUCAUCCACAGGUUCCCCUGGUGUGUCACAAUGAUGAAUGAAGAGGACUACCAAUCUCUGAAAGACCCCUCUUCUGCUCUGUCUGCGCUCUGAGAUCUCCUCCCCUAUAGUCUCCAUGCAGAUAUCAGCCGACAGCUGGCCUUUGCGCCGCGGGGCAUAGAUGGUGGCUGCCGAGAGGAAAAUGAUAAAGAAAAAGAAGAAUGGAUGAUUUCACAAAGCUGCUGUAUUCAGACCAGACACACGACCACACUGUGGAGACGACAUCGGCAGGGACGGUGUUGCAGCCUGCCUUUCUAGAAUCUCUUGGAAACACGGCUCAAAGGAGAAGUCAAAGAAGAAAGAGUACCGAAGAAGAAAAUGCCAUUAUUUGUCUGACAGUCAGAGUACAAGUAAAUUAAUGACUAUGAAGCACCAGCAACUACUUUUUAGUCAAGAAGUUGUACAUUGAAGAAGACCUAGUUUCAGAGAUGGCCGCCGUAUACUCUGUAUACUCUAAAGUGCAAAGGCAGUUCACCAGGAGAAAAUGUCUUGGUCAUUAAAGAGAAAUUU